rnacentral:lncRNA from 1 species
AGUCGAGUCUCUCUUAUGGGCGAUGUUGGGUUUCGAUGGUGCAGUGGAAGGGUCAGAUGUUUAAAAUUUUUAUUCAAACACCUAAUGCACCGAAAAUCUUAAUGCUCAGAAAUCCUUGACUAUAAUAAUCAAAGUACAAUUAAAUUAAUCUUGGAUAAGAAGAAUACCUAUAGUGCUAAUCUAAUUUUCAUGAGAUGUCUAAAUGUCCACCCUCCAAUAGUGAUCCACACGAAAAUUAGACCAAA